rnacentral:rRNA from 1 species
AUGUCUAAGCACAAACUAAAUAAUUGUGAAGCCGCGAAUGGCUCAUUACAACAGCCAUUGUUUACUGGAUAUAUAAUUACUACAUGGAUAACUGUGGUAAUUCUACAGCUAAUACACGCAAUAAAACUCCGACUUUGUGAAGGAGUGCGUUUGUUACUUCAAAUCAAUCGGACGCAAGUCUGAUCUAAAGUGAUAUUGAACAAUUUAGCUGAUCGCACGGUCUUGUACCGGCGACAUAUCCUUCAAAUGUCUGCCUUAUCAACUUUCGAUGGUAGAUUAUGCGCCUACCAUGGUUGUAACGGGUAACGGAGAAUCAGGGUUUGAUUCCGGAGAGGGAGCCUGAGAAAUGGCUACCACAUCCAAGGAAGGCAGCAGGCACGCAAAUUACCCACUCCCGGCACGGGGAGGUAGUGACGAAAAAUAACAAGCUGGUCUCUAUGAGUUCCGGCAUUGUAAUGGGAACAACUUAAACCAUUUAUCGAGGAUCUAUUGGAGGGCAAGUCUGGUGCCAGCAGCCGCGGUAAUUCCAGCUCCAAUAGCGUAUAUUAAAGUUGUUGCGGUUAAAAAGCUCGUAGUUGGAUCUACGACCAAGCUCGGCGGUCGUUCUGCUUGAAUGUACUGCACGAGCUGGUCCAAAUAUCUAGUAUUCUAUUGAUGCUCUUCACUGAGUGUCUCUAGUUGCUGGAACUUUUACCUUGAAAAAAUUGAAGUGCUCAAAGCAGGCUAACGCCUGAACAUUGCUGCAUGGGAUAAUAGAAUAGGACUUCGGUUCUAUUUUGUUGGUUUCGGAACACGAAGUAAUGAUUAAUAGGGACAGACGGGGGCAUUCGUAUUGCUGCGUUAGAGGUGAAAUUCUUGGAUUGUAGCAAGACGAACUACUGCGAAAGCAUUUGCCAAGAAUGUUUUCAUUAAUCAAGAACGAAAGUUAGAGGUUCGAAGGCGAUCAGAUACCG